AUGGAUCCUCCUUUUUCUGAAACUGAGGUUUGGAGGGUAAUUAAGCUGACGCCAAUAGAUCGUGCACCAGGCCCCGACUGCUUCUCCGACAGCAUCUUCGGGAAUUGUUGGCCAGUCAUAAAAAUAGACCUACUGCGAGCGCCACACCAAUUCUACAAGCUGCGAUCAAGAGGCUUUGAUCAACUGAACACUAGAACCAUUAUUCUCAUCCCCAAGAGGACAAACCCUUCCGAAAUAGCAAACUUCAGGCCCAUUAGCUUAGUUCACUCCUUUGCCAAAUUGAUCACCAAAAUCCUCUCGCUUAAACUGGCCCCAAAGUUAAACAACCUGAUCUCCCCAGGGAAAAGUGCCUUUCUGAAAACGAGGUGCAUCCACGACAUCUACCUACUUGUUAGAAACUAUGCCAAAAGGUUACAUAGAAAGAAGAAACCUUCCCUGCUGUUCAAAAUGGAUAUCGCCAAGGCCUUUGAUUCCAUCUCCUGGGAGUUCUUGCUUGAGCUGCUACAACACAUCGGCUUCAGUUCAAGAUGGCAAAAUUGCAUCUCCCUGCUACUUUGCUCGGCUUCCUCCACUGCAAACCUUAACGGAGCUCAAGGCUAGCCGAUCUCCCAUAGAAGGGGUCUCCAGCAAGGGGACCCGCUGUUGCCAUUCUUAUUCAUCCUUGAUAUUCUGAUGCGGAGCAUCCCAAGGACAUCCCCAUGGACCCGUCAUCGUCUCACCAAGUGCCAAGCGGACCUAUGA
rnacentral:rRNA from 1 species